UAGCUUAGUUAGUAAAGCACUUGUCUAGUGCAUAAGGGUCGUGAGCUCAAAUCUCAC
rnacentral:tRNA from 1 species